UACGUAGGGGGCGAGCGUUGUCCGGAUUUAUUGGGCGUAAAGAGCUUGUAGGCGGUUUGUCGCGUCUGCUGUGAAAUCUCAAGGCUCAACCUUGAGCUUGCAGUGGGUACGGGCAGACUAGAGUGUGGUAGGGGAGACUGGAAUUCCUGGUGUAGCGGUGAAAUGCGCAGAUAUCAGGAGGAACACCGAUGGCGAAGGCAGGUCUCUGGGCCACUACUGACGCUGAGGAGCGAAAGCAUGGGGAGCGAACAGG
rnacentral:rRNA from 1 species